rnacentral:lncRNA from 1 species
GCAGCACCCCUGCCUCUAUUGGAAGCUGCCACAUUCUCCAUGGAGGGAGAAGCUCACUCCAGUGCCACUCCUACCCAAAUGAAGUACGCAGUAAAAGCUUAUUGACUUAACUCCUGACUGAGAUCUCCCAGAGAGAGGAUCCCAACAACAGCAGAAAGUCUUCCUACCCACUGAUUCCUUCUCCAGAAAAAUUCAGACUUCAGUGAAGAUGACUGAUUCCAAGGAGCUCUCAUUCAUGCAAGUCCUACUGAUUGAAGUGACUGCAUUUUUCCUUCAAGCUGCCCUCCUCUUACUUCUUUACAUUUUACUCAGGAGGCAAAUUGCCAACUGCGUUCAAAUGGUGAAAGCUGCAAGCACCCUGGUCCAGGAACUGAAGAAGCCAAAAAGUAAUACUGAGUCACCUGCCUCAGAAAAGACAAAGUGUAAAAGGAGUGCUCCAGCUUCCCAGAAUUAUAGGGACUCAAUGCAAAUGCCACAUUCUACAGGAGGACUUUCCCAGAAACUUGAACUGUUCCUGCCUUCCCCCAAAGAUGAUCUAUUCUACGAACGCCACAGUGGCAGUGAUUCCUCCUCAGAGAGCUCUGACAGCUCAGAAGGAUAUCCUUCAACUUCCACCAGCAAGGCACCCAGAGAUGUGAAUUACAGCACCCUGGUCUUUCCAGCCACUGAUUGCCAAAGGGCUUUGUCUCCUAAGAACUAUGAGAACACAAAGGCAGCCGGCGAUUAUGUCAAUGUGGAUCCCAAGAACUGUAAAAAGAAUGCCUGGAAUUUCAGUUACUCCUCUGAGCCAGUGGAAUACACAGAAGUGGCUAUGUGAAUUCUGACAACCAAAAGGGACUCGCUUCUCCACGGUCUUGGAUUUGAGUUAAAAGAAAAUAUCUUAAUAAUACAGAAAAUAUCUUAAUAAUAAUAUCUUAAUAAUAAUAGGGGACAGCUGGGUGACUCAAUAGAAUGAAAACCAGACUUAGAGACAGGAGGUCCUGGAUUCAAAUCUAGUCUCACAUUCCCUAGCUGUCACUUAACCCCCAUUGCCUUAGCCCUUACCCCCUUUGCCUUGAAACCAAUACAUAGUAUCAAUUCUAAGAUAGAUGGUAAGGGUUUAAAAAAUAAAUAACAUAACAAGAAGGAUUCUGGUUAGAGC